rnacentral:rRNA from 1 species
GGGUGAGUAACACGUGGAUAAUCUGCCUAUGACCCUGGGAUAACACCGAGAAAUUGGUGCUAAUACCGGAUGAGUUCCUUUGAGCGCAUGCAGGGAGGAAGAAAGGGGAGACCCGGUCAUAGAUGAGUCCGCGGCUGAUUAGCUAGUUGGUGGGGUAACGGCUCACCAAGGCGACGAUCAGUAGCCGGCCUGAGAGGGUGUACGGCCACACUGGGACUGAGACACGGCCCAGACUCCUACGGGAGGCAGCAGUGGGGAAUCUUCCGCAAUGGGCGAAAGCCUGACGGAGCAAUGCCGCGUGGGUGAAGAAGGCCUUCGGGUUGUAAAGCCCUGUCUUAUGGGAAGAAGAAAGUGACGGUACCAUAGGAGGAAGCCACGGCUAACUACGUGCCAGCAGCCGCGGUAAUACGUAGGUGGCGAGCGUUGUCCGGAAUCACUGGGCGUAAAGGGCGCGCAGGCGGUUUUUUAAGUCAGUUGUGAAAUAUCCGGGCUCAACCUGGAGGGUGCGACUGAUACUGGGGGACUUGAGUGCAGGAGAGGGCAGUGGAAUU